rnacentral:rRNA from 1 species
GGUUAACCGAAUAGGGGAGCCGGAGGGAAACCGAGUCUUAACCGGGCGUUAAGUUGCAGGGUAUAGACCCGAAACCCGGUGAUCUAGCCAUGGGCAGGUUGAAGGUUGGGUAACACUAACUGGAGGACCGAACCGACUAAUGUUGAAAAAUUAGCGGAUGACCUGUGGCUGGGGGUGAAAGGCCAAUCAAACCGGGAGAUAGCUGGUUCUCCCCGAAAGCUAUUUAGGUAGCGCCUCGUGAAUUCAUCUCCGGGGGUAGAGCACUGUUUCGGCUAGGGGGCCAUCCCGGCUUACCAACCCGAUGCAAACUGCGAAUACCGGAGAAUGUUAUCACGGGAGACACACGGCGGGUGCUAACGUCCGUCGUGAAGAGGGAAACAACCCAGACCGCCAGCUAAGGUCCCAAAGUCAUGGUUAAGUGGGAAACGAUGUGGGAAGGCCCAGACAGCCAGGAUGUUGGCUUAGAAGCAGCCAUCAUUUAAAGAAAGCGUAAUAGCUCACUGGUCGAGUCGGCCUGCGCGGAAGAUGUAACGGGGCUAAACCAU